CUUGCUUCCUCGAUCGAGUGGCGAACGGGUGAGUAACGCGUGAGGAACCUGCCUCAAAGAGGGGGACAACAGUUGGAAACGACUGCUGAUACCGCAUAAGCCCACGGGUCGGCAUCGACCAGAGGGAAAAGGAGCAAUCCGCUUUGAGAUGGCCUCGCGUCCGAUUAGCUAGUUGGUGAGGUAAUGGCCCACCAAGGCGACGAUCGGUAGCCGGACUGAGAGGUUGAACGGCCACAUUGGGACUGAGACACGGCCCAGACUCCUACGGGAGGCAGCAGUGGGGAAUAUUGCACAAUGGGGGAAACCCUGAUGCAGCGACGCCGCGUGGAGGAAGAAGGUCUUCGGAUUGUAAACUCCUGUUGUUGAGGAAGAUAAUGACGGUACUCAACAAGGAAGUGACGGCUAACUACGUGCCAGCAGCCGCGGUAAAACGUAGGUCACAAGCGUUGUCCGGAAUUACUGGGUGUAAAGGGAGCGCAGGCGGGAAGACAAGUUGGAAGUGAAAUCUAUGGGCUCAACCCAUAAACUGCUUUCAAAACUGUUUUUCUUGAGUAGUGCAGAGGUAGGCGGAAUUCCCGGUGUAGCGGUGGAAUGCGUAGAUAUCGGGAGGAACACCAGUGGCGAAGGCGG
rnacentral:rRNA from 1 species